rnacentral:misc_RNA from 2 species
AAGUCGUAACAAGGUUUCCGUAGGUGAACCUGCGGAAGGAUCAUUAUUGAAUAUUCUUGAUGGGUUGUAGCUGGCUCUCCGGAGCAUGUGCACGCCUGUCUUGACUUAAUUCAUCCACCUGUGCACUUUUUGUAGUCUUGGAGGUUGAGAGCGGUCGACUAUCGGAUGGCUGUUAUGGCCUUUCCGGAUGUGAGGAAUUGCUGAGUGCAAAAGCAUACAGCUCUUCUCAAAAUGACUCGCAAUACCUCUCCUUCAAGUACUAUGUAUUCAUAUACCACAUAGUAUGUUGUAGAAUGUGAUCAAUGGGCUUAUGGCCUAUAAUAAUGAAAUACAACUUUCAGCAACGGAUCUCUUGGCUCUC